rnacentral:rRNA from 1 species
ACCUACCAAACCCUACCCAGAUCCAAUCGAUCCCCUCCUCCCAUUGCACCGCUUCUCCCCCCAUCUCCUCGCCGCCACCACUGACGGCGCUCCCCUUGAUCCCUCCCACCGCCGUCUCCCUCCCUCAGAUCGAGCUCCCCCUACCCUCCCCCUCCCACCUCUCAAAGCUCCCGCGUCCCAGCGCCGCUGCUGACUACCAUGCCGUCGCCGCCUACCACGCCGUCGCGGCCGGCCACGACGGCCAGUACCCGUACUACUCCUACGGCGGUGGCGUCGAUGCCUUGUGCCGUUGUGGCAGUCGAGUGACGGCGGCCAUUCCCACCAACGAGGGCUUCUUCGAUGACAUCUUCGGCGCCCGUGCACAUCAGGUGCAGUCGAGUCCAGGUCCAAGUCCACCAAGUCGUCGUCGGUGAUCAGCUCCGUCCGCUCCGCCUUCCGGUCACCGGCCACCAGCGGUAGCACGGCAACGCUGCCCUCUCCUCCUUCACGUCCAAGCUCAGGUGAACCAGUCGUCAGGUUCCACUUCUUGGUGGAGCAAUGUGCGCGUGCACCUGGCAUUUCUUCUACAACUCAGUGUCUCUCGAGGUAACAUAUUAACCCGAAGGCAAUGCAGUUGCAUUCCCUUUUCUACUAAUCAUCGAUAUCAGCUACUCCGCAGGACUCAACCGUAUCGUACACCGGGCGUCGUCGUGUAGAUUUUGCCCACCGUGUAGAUUUUGGCCCUUCAUUCCGGUUCGAGAAUUCACUGUAUGACUGUCAUUGAGAAACUGCAUGCAUGGACUAUGCAAUGCUCUUUAAUGUAGAAGCUCUGUCACUCUGGUCUAUAUUACUCUACUAGUCAGUGUCACAUUUCAAUUGAGCCGUUAGGGCAAGAAAAGGAAAUUGUCAGGCAACUACUCCGUCCAUACUUCCAAAAACUUCUUGUAUUUUGAUACAGAGGCAGUAGUUACUAGUGUUUUUAUCAAAGCUUUACUAGUGUUUAUGAGUAAAACUGUCGUGUCUAUUUCUCUAAAUGUUCAACAAAUAAUUUUAAAAACUUACAAGUUAUGCAGUUUCGUUGUGGUUGAUUGACAUCCCUGUGAAGAUAAAAUACAGGACCAACUUUUAGCUUUUUGUGAAGCAAAAACAUUUGGUAAAAAAAUCGUAGAAACCCCCAAUAAGUCGAUUUAUAGUUGAUAGAAGAAGUAUGAUUUGGUGUUGGUGUGUGUGAACUUCUGACAUUUUGAUCUCUGAAUGCUAGUUGGACAUUUUGAUAUCUGAAUGCUAGUUUGACAUUUUGAUAUCUAAAUCCCUUUGUCCGCCCCUCAUCUUUUCUUCUUCUGCUCUCUGUCUGACCCCCUUCUAGUUAAUUUGGUACAGUGACCUACUCCCCUGCUUCCUAUGUUAAUUUGGUGUGUGAUGUGGAUGUGAUGUAUUUUAGGCAUGAUUAAAUACGUACUUUGGUUCCACUCUGACUGAAACAACUUGUUGGUUCAGUUUCUUUUAUGAAGAACAAAUAUGAUGAACACCUUUUCUUUUCCUUUUUAUUCAAGAUUCAUUUCCAAUUAUAAACCAAACUGAAAUUGCAAAUAGUCUAGAAUGAAUGAAGCAGAGAGUCCUUCCUUCUUUGGUAGCUGGCACAAUUCCUUGUACAAUUCCUUCUCAAGGUGCUGGUGUUUGUGGAGGUGAUUGACCUCUUUUUUCACUCUCUGUAUCAAGGUGCAGCUAAUGAGCAUUGGUAGGUGUUGUUCGGUGUACCUUGACAUGAUCUCCAGGACAUGAAAUCGGCAACAGGAUUUGCAGAGUACAAGGGUGGGCUCAUCAAGGUGUGUGGUGGUAGGCUCGCUCGGCCCCAGCAUCUUUUGUUGAACGGACAUGCCGCCUCUUCAGCAUCGGCUACAUGAGAGCCAUGGUGAGCUCUCUUCUCCCUGCCUCCGUUUGCUUGCUCUGAGCUCGUGCUUGUGAGAAACUGCAUGUCACCUCGCUUGAACUCCCUAGCUACACCACACCUUGUUUAAUACACUAGUCAUGCUCUUGCAUACAUGUUUUGUUGGACGAAAAAAUGUACAAUGAUCUGCUCCUUGGGAUAUUAAUUCUUAUGAUAUAUCUUGUAAUUUACAUUAUUGUAAAAGUUAAACCCACUACACGUGUUAGCAGAAAUUGUUUUAGUUUGUCAUACAUAAUUGCCUAUGCUUGUUGGUAGCUAUUAAGUGUAUAAUUCACCAUGGAAGCAUAGUAAUUUCAUGGACAUCAUAAGAUUACAUUUAUGUUCUGAACUUAAAUAUUUAAACUCAGUGUUUAGAUUCUGUAUCUGUAAUCAUAAGCUUCACUUGUAGUCUGGUCGUUCUUAGACAUAUUAUUGUUUGAGUUAAGUUCACCGAACAAUACUUAAAAUUUUAGGAAUCAAUGAUGCCGACCUCCUUGCAGAGUUGUGCCAGGUACCAAAUGAUGACCUACUCGCAUAGUUGUGAUAGUUACCGAUGACCUCCUCAUACUCACCGGUAACAAGUCUGGUUUCACAUUUGCUGGGCACUAUGCUUUUGGUGUAUCAUAUGGCUGGGAGAAAACACACAGUUUCCUGCAUUGUCGGAUAAUGUCAAUUUGUUCUGUAAGAUCUGAGUUUAUUGUACUAUAAAUGGUGAUAAUAUUGUGCCUAGUAUGUCCACGACCUUUUACAUUGUAUGGAUAAUUGGAUAGACUGAACUACCGUAUUCCCCUUUAUACUCCGCAGUCAAACUCAUAUGAUAGAGUAGAUAUUUUCUACCUGUAGAAUCAUGGAGGUAUUAACUACCUGAUGUAGUCAUAGAACAACAUCAUGUUUGAAUAUGCCAAAUGUUUGGGCCUAAUGAUGUUCUGUAUUAUGGCAGCUGCUUUAUUACUUUCUUUCUAGGUUUAUGUGCAGUGUUGGAUUAAUGAUUUAAGUGCAUUAGCGGUUUAUCUUCUUGUUCACAAGUCUGUUUGCAUUGGAUGUACAUAACUGUCAUUUUUACAUCUUGCAUAUUUAACAUACAUGACAAUAGUAGUAGGUAUUGAAAUAUAUGCGAAGGUAGAAGCUAUCGCUGCUGCCUUGUGGGUCGUAAUUCUUUCUCUCCAGACGCGUAUACUGCCUGAUGUAUCGCUCAUGCUCAUAUUCUGUAUUGAGAUAGUCCUAAUAUCCAUCGGGUUGUAGAUUGAUUUCCCCUGAAAAAGCUAUGCUUCUUUCCUUAGAUGAUAAGCAUGUUCGACAGCUAUGUGGAAUCCUUAAGAUAAAUGGUCUUUAGUUUCUUUUGGUGCAUCUGCGUGCACAUAACAGUCCGUUAGUUUCUCUUUAUAUAAUGAAGAAAAUAUGUUGUUAUCAUUUGUUUAUUAUUAUCUAUCAUCUGUAGAUUGAUUUUUAGGCCAUCAGUACUUCUAUGUAUAAUUUGUAGUCUCUUGAAUGAAUAAUUUUUCUUUAGGUGUCAUGUGUCUUGUGUUACUACAUACAUCUGGCGUGAAGUACAUGGUUCCAGAACUAUGGUAACCCGUAGUUUGCUCUACUGGUGAUAGUAGGAUGAUGGAAACAUCACUACUAAAUGUAGUUCAUGUUUCUUCAACUAAUCAUCAUGUACUAGAGUUUCUCUUCUUCUUGCUACUGUUUGGUUUUUGACGUCACUAGCUUGUACUGAAACGUGCAGACUUUACCCCUUGCUAGAUCCUUUGGUGGAGGUGACCCAUGUGAUGGUGAUUCGCUCCAGCAGUUUCGGUCUGACACUGGUGGUGCUACACUACUACUACUCCUAUGAUGGCGACGCAUUGGUAGGCUCGGCUGCCUCCCUUUGUUGUCACUGUGAUGGUGAAGCUCAGCCUAGGCUACAACCACUUACGAUGAGCUCCUCAGGUCCCCUUCUACCCCUCCUACUCGCUCCAUGAUUCUUUGCUUUGCCUUUGUGAGGUGUAAUUGUUUAAUUUUUGUCAUAGUGGAGCAUUGGAUGAUAUAUUGUAUCUGUCAUGAGGUACAUGGUUCAUGGAUAUGCCAACCUGCAGCUUGUUGUACUAGUGAUAGUAGGAUAAUGCAAGUUUUGACAAUCAAUACAUAUUCCUGCAUGUUAGUGUCUCUCCGUGUAAGUACUAAUUCUGGUGAGAAGAAUACAAUUAUUAUUUAACCAGUCCAGAUUUUUAACAUUUGAUGUACUUCCAAGGCACACAGAUCUCUACUCUUCUACAUAAUCCACACUUUGUUCUGGAAGCAAGUCAGUUGUACCAUGCUGUUACAUCACAACAAGGUGUCAUUUGAUGUAGUGCUGCUGUUGAUGCUCCCUAGAGUCUAGAUGUAGAUGUACUGCUGCUGUUGAUGCUCUAGCUGUAGCCUGUACUAUUGUUGUUUUGCUUCUUCAGUGUUAGUUUCGCUACUACUAGCUGUUGGCUGCUACUAGUUAGUACUUAGUAGUUACUGCUAGCAGUGCUAGUAGCUGCUGCUGCUUCUAUUGCUUGUGCAAUUGUGCUAGUAGCCAGUAGAUGUUCAUUGCAUGACCUGCACUCGUAGCUAGUAGAUGUGCUGGUACCUGUACGCUAGUAUUGUUGGUGUGUUCAAUGUCUUAGUAGAACAUCAUCAGGUUGAUGUGUUGUAGUCAAGUUUUGGAUGUUUUGCCAUGCCAUGCUUAGUGUUUACUAAACUGAGGUAUUUGAGCAUUUAUGUGUAAUUUCUAUUCUCUUGAAUGGAUAUUUUUUUAUUGGCAAUCAUUUAAAUUCCACUGUAUCUCACUUAUAAUUUAUGCAGAUCAGGAUCUAAUAUUAUUGAGGUUGUUGUUGUUGUGAGCAUGAUCAGAAGAAGCCUGGAGAUGUGCACAAUAGUUUUAGUUGAUGUUGCCACCAUGUUUUGGUGCAUGUGUAUUUAUUUUUGAUUGUAUGCAAACUUGAUGGAUCAUGCAGACGUGUAUGUGCUGUUGUGAGUUUCAUUGAUUCUGGAUUUGAUCAUUUAAUUGAGAGAACUAUUGAUUGUUUGCUGUUGAAAUGUGUAACAGAAAUCUGUG